AGUGGGAUAGCUGGGUCAAAUGGUGGUUCUAUUCCCAGUUUUCUGAGGAAUCUCCAUACUGCUUUCCAGAGUGGUUGCACCAAUUUUCAGUCCCACCAGGAAU
rnacentral:pre_miRNA from 1 species